rnacentral:rRNA from 1 species
UGGGGAAUAUUGCACAAUGGGCGCAAGCCUGAUGCAGCCAUGCCGCGUGUAUGAAGAAGGCCUUCGGGUUGUAAAGUACUUUCAGCGGGGAGGAAGGCGAUAAGGUUAAUAACCUUGUCGAUUGACGUUACCCGCAGAAGAAGCACCGGCUAACUCCGUGCCAGCAGCCGCGGUAAUACGGAGGGGGCAAGCGUUAAUCGGAAUUACUGGGCGUAAAGCGCACGCAGGCGGUCUGUCAAGUCGGAUGUGAAAUCCCCGGGCUCAACCUGGGAACUGCAUUCGAAACUGGCAGGCUAGAGUCUUGUAGAGGGGGGUAGAAUUCCAGGUGUAGCGGUGAAAUGCAUAGAGAUCUGGAGGAAUACCGGUGGCGAAGGCGGCCCCCUGGACAAAGACUGACGCUCAGGUGCGAAAGCGUGGGGAGCAAACA